GACGAACGCUGGCGGCGUGCCUAAUACAUGCAAGUCGAGCGAGUCAAUAGGAGCUUGCUCCUGUUGAUUAGCGGCGGACGGGUGAGUAACACGUGGGCAACCUGCCUGUAAGAUCGGGAUAACUUCGGGAAACCGGAGCUAAUACCGGAUAAUCCUUUUCCACAUAUGUGGGAAAGCUGAAAGACGGUUUCGGCUGUCACUUACAGAUGGGCCCGCGGCGCAUUAGCUAGUUGGUGAGGUAACGGCUCACCAAGGCGACGAUGCGUAGCCGACCUGAGAGGGGGCUCGGCCACACUGGGACUGAGACACGGCCCAGACUCCUACGGGAGUCAGCAGUAGGGAAUCUUCCGCAAUGGACGAAAGUCUGACGGAGCAACGCCGCGUGAGCGAUGAAGGCCUUCGGGUCGUAAAGCUCUGUUGUUAGGGAAGAACAAGUAUCGGAGUAACUGCCGGUACCUUGACGGUACCUAACCAGAAAGCCACGGCUAACUACGUGCCAGCAGCCGCAGUAA
rnacentral:rRNA from 1 species